rnacentral:rRNA from 1 species
UACGGAGGGGGCUUGCGUUGGUCGGAAUUACUGGGCGUAAAGCGCGCGUAGGCGGCUUAUCAAGUUAGGGGUGAAAGCCCAAGGCUUAACCUUGGAAUUGCCUUUAAGACUGAUAGGCUUGAGUAUGGGAGAGGUAAGUGGAAUUCCGAGUGUAGAGGUGAAAUUCGUAGAUAUUCGGAAGAACACCAGUGGCGAAGGCGGCUUACUGGACCAUAACUGACGAUGAGGCGCGAAAGCGUGGGGAUCAAACAGG